rnacentral:lncRNA from 1 species
AUGAAGUUUGUUUAUCCUGUAACACUGCAUGCAAACACGGCGAGCCUGAUAGAGGCGUGGUAUAUGACAUCCGAUGAUUACACCGUGGGCACGGAGCUAAUGACAGCUCUCCAUACCGCAGGCAGAAAAGACUCCCCGCCUUCUGCAGGCAUCACGGCCGCAGUGCACUUCUGCUUCUUCAGCAACAUGCAUGUGAGAUAAUCUAUUUGGGAAUGGAUGGUGACCACAGAGAGUCAUGGCUUGGCUUUAUCCCUUUACUGGAUCUCUAGAGCCCGUGGCUUGGCAUGAAGGAGGAGUCGCGGUUCUGUGCGUCUGCAUGAAGAGUUACAGCAAGCAUGAACUGAAUUAGACAAACCCUCUCUUUUUCUCUCCCAAGGUCACUAGUGAGCCUUAAUGUUAUAAGUGCCUAUUCGAAAACGGUUCUUCUUUACACACCCAUUCAACAAAGCUUGUUAUUUGAACUUGUACUCCCUUGAGACGUGUACUGUCCCUCAGAUCAUACACAUCCCUCCUUCUGUUCUUACAAACGCAAUGUCGAGCAGCACAGUAUGAGAACAGGGUGUUAACAUGAGUUUCUGUGUAGGAGUGAUUCUGAGUAAGCUUCCAACCUUAUCUCUCCUCACACUUGUGAUCGGUGGAUUUAAACACCUGCUCUUUUGUUCUUCUCACACAUCCGGCCAACCUGACACUUUUUACUCUGAUUUGUGACUUAAGGUGCAUUUAGGGACGGUGGUUUUCCUUUCAAAUAAUGUGUGUUUCUUAUCUAAGGUCAUAAAAUAUGUAUAAUUCAUACUAUAUAUACUGCCAUUGAAAAGUUUGUGGUCAGUGUAAAUUUUUUUUUUGUUGUUUUUUUUAAGAAUUUAAAACUUUUAUUAAGCAAAGAUGCAAGUGACAGUAAAGACAUUUAUAAUGUUAUAAAUGCCAUUUUAAAUAAAGGCUGUUCUUUUAAACUUUCUAUUCAUCAAAUAAUUCUAAAAAAAAAAAUAUAUAUUACUGUACGCAGCACAACUGUUUUCAACAUUUACCAUAAGAAAUAUUUUUUGAACUCCAAAUCAGCAUUAAUUUCCGAAGGAUCAUGUGACACUGAAGACUGGAAUAAUGGCUACAGAAAAUUCAACUUUGGCAUCCUACAUUUUAAAAUGUAUACAAAUAGGAAAUAGUUAUUUUAGACUAGAAUUAUAUUUAUAACAAUAUUACUUGUUUGUUUGUUUUUUGUUUUUUUAAUUAAAUAAAGGCAGAGAAAAACCUGCUAACCCAAAAGUGGACAGUAGUGUACACUGUAGAUAUACAAUAAAUGUGUGCAUUAGGUCAGUUUGGUACCUGCGUGAAAAUAUGCCAUAUGUUUUAAAAAGUAACUAGCAAUUGUAAAGUGAAGGUUAAUAUAUUGGCAGUGAACUUUCGCACAAUGCAGCUCAAACACCACAUGACACCCAGCUAAGAAGAUUUUCAACAUCAAUAAUUUCUUGGGGAUAAUAAGAAGAGGAUAAUAGAAAAUUUUUCAAGUGAAUAAAACAGAGAGAGGAACAGCUUUUAGGGUAAUUAGUUUUCAUCAAACGCCCAUGAAAACAUUUGGUGACUCAUUUUAGAUUUAAAAAAAUUAAAAAUCUGAAAUGUUGGGAUUUAGGAUAUAUAUGCCUGUUGUAACCUAGAUCCCUUGAGACAAUGGGCAGGAAGUGCAUUUGUACUGGAUGUGUCCAAACCAGUUUUUGGUUCCCAUGUUCAUGUUCUUACAGAUUAAUUUAACAGGUUAAAGGCAUUUUUAGAAAGAUUGACUGUUGCUGUUGGCACUACUGGCAGUGAUACUUGGGAUAUCAAAAGUCAACACUAAUGACAAAUUUAUAAACAAUGCUGACAUUAUCCUAUUGCUGUUAUGCCCAAAUAACACUUGGGUCAUUCCAAGAAAUUAGCUUUUCCAUUUUGAAAAGGUGACAUUUAUGUACAAUUUUAAACAUUCCAACAGAAAAGUCUUAACUGUUAAUAGACUACAAUUUGUUUAAAUAAAUCCAAAAAUCAUAAACUGACUUCUAAAGAGGCGAUGAAUUGGAAGUAGCCACAAAUCUUUUCUUCCAUAUUACUGUAUGAUGUACACCUGAGUGGAUUAAUUUCACGCAGACUUUAAUAAACACAAUGUUAAUAAACUGCAUUGUGUCAUUUCAAGCUAAAUUUGUUA